GCUAAUAUGGCUCAGUCGGCAGAGCACAUCCUUGGUAAGGAUGAGGUCCCCGGUUCGAAUCCGGGUAUUAGCUCCA
rnacentral:tRNA from 9 species